rnacentral:lncRNA from 1 species
CAACUCCCUACUUUGCUGGCUCUCCUAUCUUUCUGUGACUUCUCCUGAUGUUUGGAUGGUGACAUUUCAUCUGAGGUCACAGAGCCAAAUACCAGUGCCACCAUCCAUGAGAAGAAACAGACAAUUCACAGACUGUUCUGGAAAGGAGGACAUAUUUCUGAUUUUAGUGUCUUAUUUUGUAUUGUCAUACACAGAGCUGGGAGGGCAGGGUGUAGGGUGGUCGGCCUGGGGCAUGCAUGUGUGUGUGUGUGUGUGUGUGUGUGUGUGUAACUGCUGUCUCUGGCCUGCUCAGUGGUUCUGAGCUUCUCCUUCCCCUUUGUUUCUCCGUUGUUGCCUUUGGGUUUUUGAAAGAGCAUAAAGUUGGAUGUCACAAAAAAGACUUCCUCCCGUACCAAGUGAAGUUUGAGCACCCACAGAAAUGGGUCAGAGAAUGUAGUUAGAUGACAGUAUCACAGACCUACCUUCUAUGGAGUCUCUUCACUGUGUACAAUGAGUCUUGUUAUGUCUUGAGAAGAUACAGGGACUUGGGUUCAUGGUGUGUCAGGACAGUGCUAUACAGCAGCGGGGAGAAUGGUGACGUCCUUGGGUCACUCGAUGGCUGUUUCCAUAGGGUCCUGGUCUGUUAGAUGAAGCUUUGCUUUGGGCAUAGAGUGGCUUAGCAACCAGUUAGAGAAUGUUCAAAUUCUAGAUUCCUAAGUAUAGAACUGGAACACUGGAGGGUGCCUCAGAGCCUUUACCCAAGUCGUGAUCACAAAUGAGAAGAAGACUCGAGGGGAUUGAUGAGCUGAGGCCAGGCUGGACCACUAGAAUGCAGCAAGAGCAGCUGAGCCCAGUGCUCUGGUCUCUAUUAUGUACUGCCUCACAUUUCUUUCUGUUGAUUGUUGUCUGUGUGGAAAGUCAGAGUUGGGAGCAGGGGCUAUGAAGUCAGUGAGCCCCAAGUCACAUUUCCCCCUUUGUAAGAGAGUUGUGCACCCAGGGCACAGUCAAGACAGAAACUGAGGGUAGAAACAGAAGGGGUGUGGCAGCUAAGAUCGUCUUGUUCUCUCAGGAAAGCCUUUGGGAGACUUCUGAUCCCAUUUCAUAGGCAGAAUAAGGGUUCACCUGUCAUCACCUAGCCUCAAGAAAGGAACCAUUAAGCUGUAGCCUCUGUAGUUGGAAGUAGGAGUGAGAAGGGGGAGGGACCUGGCUCUCUGGGUCAAUUAGCAUAGUCUGCCUCAGGUAGAUCCUGAAUCCCAGGAAGCUGUAGAUGUGGUGCAGGCCAUGGCUAGCCUCAUGCCUCUGGUCACCCUAUCCAGACAAGUUGAGUGGCAGUAGUGGAGAUGGUCUGACAUCUCAGCCUGGUGGGAUUCACUGCCGACUCCCCAGGCCCACCACUGGAGUAAUGGCUGUCUUUCUUUGAGAGCACAUAGGUGGAGCGUAAGGGAGAGGGAGAUGGAUGAGGUCAUACUAUUGCAAUCACUUGGGAAAAAAUACACAAACUUCCAAAACUGCAAGAUGCUUUCUACUGCCACCAGACCUCCUUUGGAGGUUUUCCUACCGCUUAAUAACCAGGAACUUGUUGGCGUCUGACAGAGCAUCUCAGAUUUCUUACAUAAAAUGUGGAAUUGUCAAUAGUCAGAUGCAUCAGUGGCCAAGGCUAUGGUGUGCAGUUUCUAUCAGCGUGUACAGGACAUCCUGCCUGGUUUUGGCCUCAAGGAAGCAAUGGUGAGAUUUCGUAGCUCAUCGUCUCCUGGUUGGAGCAAAGGGUGCCAAACAGAGGUCAAGCUCGGGCCACAGGGAAACUGGGAAAAUACGUUCAUUGCCAUGUGCGAGGAGUCCAGUGGAUUUCAGAAAUCUUCUGUGUCUUCUUAUAGGAUACAGUGACAGCCCCUUACUGGAAGAACAUUUUAGAGCUGCCAUUGAUGGACACAGAGAGUGUUAAAACCCAGAGCACAUAAACCAGGAUGAGAAAAUUAAUCAGAAGAUAAAAGACAGCGGCUUUGGGAUCCCUGGCCGAGCCCUCCUGCAUGCUCCUGGGACAUCCUUUCAGACCAGCAGCACCAUCCCGUGCAGGGGCUGUGACAGAUGACUUAUAAUGUAGACAUCACCUCUGCUGGUGGACAGCCUUCGGAUCUGCUGAGUCCUUUUAUAAUAAAUAAAACCAAAC